UACGAAGGGUGCAAGCGUUACUCGGAAUUACUGGGCGUAAAGCGUGCGUAGGUGGUUCGUUAAGUCUGAUGUGGAAGCCCUGGGCUCAACCUGGGAAUGGCAUUGGAAACUGGCGACCUAGAGUGCGGUAGAGGGCAGUGGAAUUCCCGGUGUAGCAGUGAAAUGCGUAGAGAUCGGGAGGAACAUCUGUGGCGAAGGCGACUGCCUGGACCAGCACUGACACUGAGGCACGAAAGCGCGGGGAGCAAACAGG
rnacentral:rRNA from 1 species